rnacentral:lncRNA from 1 species
CAGAUUUCAGAAGACACAAAGGCAUCAAGACAAGCAUACUGAACCUGAUCAGGAGUAAGCCAUGGAUUGUCCCAUCUACUCAUUGUGACUCUCUUGGGCUUAUUAAUUUCCUUCCCCAACACUUCCUUGACCAAAUUCUUCAACCCAGCAUUCUUCAGCUCCCGCAUUCCUAGCUUCUCCGCAGCCAAGUUCCUCAAAUCCACUGUGUUUCUCACACUCAACCCAUAAUCCUCCACCAGCUUUUCAACGUCACUACCAAUUCCAACGCCCACAAACAAGAAAUUCUCACUGAGAAGAAAUUCCACAAGAGAUUGUGGGAUAGUUGGGGAAUAUAUGAGCUGAAAAAUGAGGCAUUUGUGAUCAAUGCAGAGCUGUAGAGUGGCGAUUGGGUUCUCGAUAUGGCGGUUGAAAUUGGGACGCCACUCGACAUCUAGGCCAACGAUGGUAGGGUUUUGGUGAAGUAGUUGUUGAGUUUCGGUAAUCCAUUGGUCGACGAGGGAGGGAGUGUUGGUGACUAGAGUGUGGAUCUGGUCCGUGAAGAAGGUGAUAUCGUAGAGAUUGUGUGUGUCGUUGGUGAGUUGGUAGUCUAUGAUGCUCACUGUCAUUGUGCUCUAAAUUGUGAAACAGGCCAACCGAGUUUUCCCCAAGGAUGAAAAGGAAGCUGAGAAGUGAACAGGCAAUUUUUUGCUUUUGUAGAAUUUUUUUUGUUUUGAGGAAAGGAGUAUUGGGGACUAAACUAUUAAGGGUGUGAGAGGGCUAUGUAUUCGUAUAAAUAAUAAUUUUUUAAGUUAUUGAUUAUAUAUUAAGAUGGAUGUACUUAAUAACCCAAGUUUUUUAGAAAUUUUAAAAUUUUGAGUAUUAAAUAUUUAAAAAACCUUAUUUUUCUCUCAAAUAAAAAAAAAUUAUUAAAAUCUACAAAAUGCAUGAAAUAUAAUUGUAUAAAAUCACAUUUUAAAAAACUUUAACCUGCUCUAACUUCUCUUGGACAAAGUUUAAGUAAAAGUGGCUUUAUAUGUAUAUGAGUGGAAGUAUAUUAUAAUUAGAGACCCAAUUACAAUUAGGUUUGAUUUCAGAAUCGAUUUGAAUUGAGAAAAGGAUUAAAACGUUUUCCAUUCCUCUUAAUAAUUCAAUCCUUUUUCUUAAAAUAGAAGAUUAGAAAUAUCAAUUUCAUAGAAUUUGUAUCCAUUCAUAAUCCUCAUAUUUAGAAUAAAUAAUUUUAAAAAAAAUUCAUUUUUUUAUUUAGAGUUAACUUACAAAAUUUUAAUUUUUAAAUAAAAGGGAAUAAAAAAUGAUUUUAUAAGAAUUUAUUUAAAAUUUUUUAUUAUAAAACAAAUUAUGCUAAGCAGAGAAUAUGAAUAAAAUGAAAUCAUAUAUGAUUUGAUUCCUAGCUUAAGAGUUAAGGAAUCUUUUUCCUUUUCUUUUUAGUUAUUUUUUCCAAUAAAAGAAUAGAACAAACAAGGCCGAUGUUUGUUGUCAAAGGAAAAUAAUGGGAGUUGCUAUUUCUGCGGCUAAUAUUGCAAUUGGUACAGGUGAUUGGAUGUCAUAAACUUUUAUUUCUCAAUAAUAACUGCAUUAAUGCAUUGAACCAAUGAGACAGUCUUUCUAAAAUCAAAUAGAUUUUCAUCCUGCCAAUGAUAGAUCUGAUGGGAAUGCAAGCUUCUCAUUAAUGAUAAAGAUUAAAAUUUGGAGGGUUUAAGCAGAGCAAGUUCAUAAUAUCUUUUCCAUGAGCAAUAAUGCAAAUUAUAAAUGCGUAAUAAUAGGCCUUUUGGAUCCAUUUCAACAUAUUUUUUAUUUAUUUGACUGCAAUGAUCAUCUCCACAACAGCAAACAAAACACAAGCCAAACAGAAAAUUUGAGAAGUAUCCAAAGUUCACAAGCUUUCCAGAGAAAGCAGCAUGGAAAUUUUAAGCAAUUAGUCCUCAAGCAGCAGCAGCAGCAGCAGCAGCAGCAGCAGCAGCAGCAGCAGCAGCCGCAGCAGCAGCCGCAGCCGCCGCAGCAGCAGCCGCAGCAGCGCAGAAGCAGAAGAAGAAGCAGAAGCAGAAGCAGAAGAAGAAGCAGAAGCAGAAGCAGAAGAAGAAGAAGAAGAAGAAGAAUUCAAUCUCCUGCCGAUUUCAGAAGACACAAAGGCAUCAAGACAAGCAUACUGAACCUGAUCAGAAGUAAGCCAUUGAUUGUCCCAUUCACUCCUUGUGACUAUCUCGGGCUUAUUAAUUUCCUUCCCCAACACUUCCUUGGCCAAAUUCUUCAACCCAGCAUUCUUCCUAAUUCCUAGCUUCUCCGCAGCCAAGUUCCUCAAAUCCACUGUGUUUCUCACACUCAACCCAUAAUCCUCCACCAGCUUUUCAACGUCAUUCCCAAUUUCAACCCCCACAAACACGAAAUUCUUACUGAGAAGAAAUUCGACAAGAGAUUGUGGGAUAAAUGGGGAAUGUAUGAGCUGAAAAAUGAGGCAUCUGUGAUCAAUGCAAAGCUGUAGAGUGGCGAUUCGGUUCUUGGUAUAGCGGUCGUUGGGACGCCACUCGACAUCUAGGCCAACGAUGGUAGGGUUUUGGUGAAGUAGUUGUUGGGUUUCGGUAAUCCAUUGGUCGACGAGGGAGGGAGUGUUGGUGACUAGAGUGUGGAUCUGGUCCGUGAAGAAGGUGAUAUCGUAGGUGAUUUGGUAGUCUCUGAUGCUCACUGUCAUUGCGCUCUGAAUUGUGAAACAGGCCAACCGAGUUUUGCCCAAGGAUGAGAAGGAAGCUGAGAAGUGAACAGGCAAUUUUUUGCUUUUGUAGAAUUUUUUUUGUUUUGAGGAAAGGAGUAUUGGGGACUAAACUAUUAAGGGUGUGAGACUGAGAGGGC